rnacentral:lncRNA from 1 species
AAAGAACACACCGAAUUUAUCCUGCUUCACCACAACUUGUGGUUAGUCCAGUCCCCGAGAGACUCUCUCGAGAUUCCACUAACUCCGUUAAGCUUCCGGGUGCAUAACAAACCGUUACACUUGCUCGUAGAUGUACACACUACAAGACUUUAACUUGCUCGAGGAUACCGAACCUCAAGACUUCAACCUUGCUCGUGGAUACCGCACCACAAGACUUCACACACUAAGACUUAGGUUACUUAGCGAACCCGACAAUCAAUGAGAAGAUAUGUUCUUCUCAAACACCUUUCUCUUUUACAACAAGAACUCUCUCAAAGAGUGGAUAAAGAGAUACAAAUUUAGCUCUAUGAACAACUCAAAGUUGUCUCUCAAAUGGCUCAACAAAAGCUCUAAAAUAAUGCUCAAA